CUCUUCGGAGUGAGCGGCGGACGGGUUAGUAACGCGUGGGAACGUACCCUUUACUACGGAAUAGCCUCGGGAAACUGAGAGUAAUACCGUAUACGCCCUUUGGGGGAAAGAUUUAUCGGUAAAGGAUCGGCCCGCGUUAGAUUAGGUAGUUGGUGGGGUAAUGGCCUACCAAGCCUACGAUCUAUAGCUGGUUUGAGAGGAUGAUCAGCAACACUGGGACUGAGACACGGCCCAGACUCCUACGGGAGGCAGCAGUGGGGAAUCUUAGACAAUGGGGGAAACCCUGAUCUAGCCAUGCCGCGUGAGUGAUGAAGGCCUUAGGGUCGUAAAGCUCUUUCGCCAGGGAUGAUAAUGACAGUACCUGGUAAAGAAACCCCGGCUAACUCCGUGCCAGCAGCCGCGGUAAUACGGAGGGGGUUAGCGUUGUUCGGAAUUACUGGGCGUAAAGCGUACGUAGGCGGCUUAGUCAGUUAGGGGUGAAAUCCC
rnacentral:rRNA from 1 species